UACGGGGGGGGCAAGCGUUGUUCGGAAUUACUGGGCGUAAAGGGCGCGUAGGCGGUUUGUUAAGUUGGAUGUGAAAACUCUGGGCUUAACCCAGAGCCUGCAUCCAAAACUGGCAGGCUAGAGUUUUGGAGGGGGAAGCGGAAUUCCUGGUGUAGCAGUGAAAUGCGCAGAUAUCAGGAGGAACACCAAUGGCGAAGGCAGCUCACUGGGACGGUACUGACGCUGAGACGCGAAAGCGUGGGGAGCAAACAGG
rnacentral:rRNA from 1 species